AUCCCUUCCGGGAGAGGUGCUCGGGCGAGAGAGCACUGCGGUUCCUGCCCUAAGUCCCUGGCACCUCAUCAAAUGCCAGCUCAGCUUCCAGCUAUGCACUCCCUCCCGGCCAUCUCCUGUUUUGGUGUCCUCUGGGCUGCCCCUCCGGGUGUCCAUGAGUCACAGAGCCGCUCCAGAAACUCCUGGUCCCGCUCCGGGCUGAGAAGAGAAUUCCGUUCACAACAAACAAAUUCCAGGGAAGCGGGAGCCCCAGCGGUUGACAACGCAUACAAAUGAUUGCAGAGCACUCCCCUCGGACUUCUGUUGGAACUUCUGGCACCCUGAAUUUGCUUUCGCAGUUUGACGUCCCUGCUGGAGUGUGACCAUUGUGACCCUCACCGCUGGUCGUGCCUUUCACACGUAAGGGUGAAUUUGCCCCAGACCAAUUCGCUGAACGAGGUUCUCCGUGGGACCUGGCGGUGGGCCUGUGGGACAGAGCACCCUCCCUGGAGGGGCACCAAGGCUGUAUGGACCCCCCUCGGCCCCCUUAUUCUGGGUCAUCUCCCUGAGGUACCACAGAUAAGGCCCGAAGAUCCCCCUUUCCCAAAGAGCCUUUUCCCGGAACGCUGAUGUUUUGUUUUGGUUUGUUUUGUUUUUUUGCGGAAAAAAGUUCUGGGGUAAAAUCAACUGAGAAAGUGG